CUGUUUUUAUGAACCACAGAGAGCUUCCUCUCCAUUUUUCCUCUUUUAUAUUUUUAGAGGAAAACUACAAUAUACAAAGAUCCAACGGUUCAAUUUUAGAUCCGACUUCGGUAACGUAAUCCUAGAAGCUCGAUCUACAUUUUGACCGAACGUUUUGAGGAUCAUGUUCGGAUUGGAGACUUUAAGUGGUUCUCCAAUGUAGAGUCCAAGUGACUAGAGUCCAAGGAGUGUUCGAGUUGGAGUGCAAUGCAGCCAAGAUGAUGUUUCUUUGGCUGCAGGUACUUCGGUAUAGUCGAUGGGUCGGUAGCAGUGUGCUUGGGAUAUUAUGACUGAAGCUCGCCGCGACAGUUGUAAUUGUCGGACCACGGGUUGUCCACUAUUUUAUAAGUUUGGUAUGGCUUGUGACGUUUGCGUCACUUAUUCUUUGUUAAGCCAUUAUUGUUAUAGUGUUAAUAAGACUCAUACAGAUAGAUGUUAAAUGGCUCUUUGUUGUAAUUAAUUUGUGAUAGAUGUAUAA